rnacentral:rRNA from 1 species
GAUUGAACGCUGGCGGCAUGCCUUACACAUGCAAGUCGAACGGCAGCACGGGGGCAACCCUGGUGGCGAGUGGCGAACGGGUGAGUAAUACAUCGGAACGUGCCCCGUAGCGGGGGACAACCAGUCGAAAGACUGGGCUAAUACCGCAUACGCUCCACGGAGGAAAGCAGGGGAUCGCAAGACCUUGCACCAUGGGAAGCGGCCGAUGCCCGAUUAGCUAGUUGGUGAGGUAAAGGCUCACCAAGGCAACGAUCGGUAGCUGGUCUGAGAGGACGACCAGCCACACUGGGACU